UUUCCGUAGGUGAACCUGCGGAAGGAUCAUUACUGAGUGAGGGCCCCUCGGGGUCCAACCUCCCACCCGUGUUUAACGAACCUUGUUGCUUCGGCGGCCCGCCUCACGGCCGCCGGGGGGCAUCUGCCCCCGGGCCCGCGCCCGCCGAAGCCACCUGUGAACGCUGUCUGAAGUAUGCAGUCUGAGACAAUUAUUAAAUUAAUUAAAACUUUCAACAACGGAUCUCUUGGUUCCG
rnacentral:misc_RNA from 1 species